UUAUGAUGGAAUGAUCAACGAAUGGAAGAUUGAAACAAACAUGG
rnacentral:pre_miRNA from 1 species